rnacentral:tRNA from 1 species
UCCCUGGACAAGUGGUUAGGCCACAGCACUCUCACUGCUGCAGCCUGGGUUUGAUUCCUGGCCAGGGAA